GACGAACGCUGGCGGCGUGCCUAAUACAUGCAAGUCGAGCGAAGUUUUUCUGGUGCUUGCACCGGAAAAACUUAGCGGCGAACGGGUGAGUAACACGUAAAGAACCUGCCUCAUAGACUGGGACAACUAUUGGAAACGAUAGCUAAUACCGGAUAACAGCAUUAACUGCAUGGUUGAUGUUUGAAAGUUGGUUUUGCUAACACUAUGAGAUGGCUUUGCGGUGCAUUAGCUAGUUGGUGGGGUAAAGGCCCACCAAGGCGACGAUGCAUAGCCGACCUGAGAGGGUGAUCGGCCACACUGGGACUGAGACACGGCCCAGACUCCUACGGGAGGCAGCAGUAGGGAAUCUUCCGCAAUGGGCGAAAGCCUGACGGAGCAACGCCGCGUGAGUGAAGAAGGAUUUCGGUUCGUAAAGCUCUGUUGUUAGGGAAGAAUGAUUGUGUAGUAACUAUACACAGUAGAGACG
rnacentral:rRNA from 1 species